rnacentral:lncRNA from 1 species
UGGCCGGACACCCCCCGUUACCUAGUCGCCCUCCCGGAGUCUCUCACGGAAGCCGGUGAAGUGCAGACGUGGGGAAGAAGUUCACUGCGUCGCGUCUUGGUCAAAGACCGGGUUUGGGAAGCCAUAGCACCUCGAGUGUGUGUCGCGCAAGUUGGUGUCGUGGCUGGGCGUGGUCGGAACCGAGAACCGGAGCUCGGCGUUACCUCGGCUUUGUCCCGCGCGAGGGGGAUUGGCUCCAGUACCGCACCACCGCAGGUAUGGCCACUUCUGUCGUCUUCGUUGACCAGUCCUUGACGUAUGGUGAGCCGCGGGAGAGGGAAUUAUACAUCUGCGGGUUUUGAAUUGCUCGUCAGAGCCAAUUGACUCUGUGGCACCGAGCCACGCCGUGGGCAGGGUAGUGCCAUCACUCAAACAUUAAAUCGGGGGUCUCGUCUGUUUCGCCUUGCGUCAGGCUGUGUUUUUAGCCACCGGCCGCGGGUGCAGGCGUCGGUGGGUAUCGAAUCGAGGAACGCUAGUGUGGUCAUCGCCAUGAACACGGUGGCGCGGUCGUGCUUGAGGUUGGGCAUGGGUAGCGCGGCAUCCGACCGUCGAUCUGAAAGCAUGUGGCUACGAUUAGAACGAAGAUAACCCUUCGAUGCUUGUGAUCCUAGCCACUGGUGGGUGAUCUCGGGGUGGAGAUUCAAUCAUCGCGUCGGCGUAUUGUGGGCUGUACAAUUUGGAUCCAAGGAUCCGUAUCACGCACCGGUCGACUCAGUUAUGUGAUCUAAUCUCACCCAUGAAGAUCUGAUCGGGCGACUCUAGUGCGCCAGUACCCCUUCGGUGUGGGCGAACUUGUAAAAGAGACCCUGAGAAAUUGGCUAAUUAACCCGCAGUCUAGCACAAGGAGUUCUCAGUCUUAUGAUGUUUUACGCAGAGGCCCCUACACUUCCUGAAUAUAGUAAGCGCAAUCCAUACAUUUAAUAAAACAGAGAAAUUGGUUUAGAAAAUGAUUUUUAGUACACAACUAAUUGCAAAAACUUGUUUAAUUCCUAGAAAAUUCAUUUUAGCUCCUUUUUAAUCCAUUCCAGUUCCUAUAAUUUUGUAUUAAUAUUGUUUAUCACUUAAUAACAUUGUUUUAGCAUGAAACCCAUAUUAAGUUUGAUCACUUAAUUAAUCUUGUACCAAACACAUAAAACCUUCGGAAAUUCAAAACUCGAAAUCCGUAACUCUGAAUGUAGUGAUUCUUUUUCCUAUGAUCUCGUUACAACACAUAGAUUAUUAUUAUGUAUUCUGUAUUCAUGUUUGGUGUGAUGUUAUUUUAUCCCUCGUACCAUGUUUGUUUGCAUUAUGACGAGUAGACGAGCCAGUGGCCGAGGAUCCAGGUGUUCAGCAGGUAGAAGUUGCUGAGCAGGAGCUCAUUGAAGGCAUGUUGUGCCCUUGACCACUUUAUUUACCCAAUAAUGUUCUCUAUAAUCAUUUUAUCAUGAAUAGGCUUAAUUUUGAUGGGACCCAAUAGGCCACCCUAGUCUGGUUAUCUUUAUACCUUGUUUAACCCUGAAUUUUUUGGUAGUCCUUGCUAUUGCUAUAUAUGGUUUUGAGUGUUGAGACAACUAUUACACAUGAUCACUCUUUAUUACUGUUCUAUUUCUAUUCAUGAUAAGACAACUAUGUUAAUUGGAACAUCGAUCUUAACUUGAGAAACACGUGCCACCACAAGGGUGGAAUGGGACGCCCUUGGCUGACUAACUAGGAAAGCUAGUGGAGGACUACCUUUCCCAAAAGGGGCAAGGGCAGUAGGGGAGUAGGCGUGUAGGGAGGUUCCGGGGUUGAUUUUGCUCCGAUGGCGGUCAGACGGGGGAUUCCUGCAUUGCUCUUCCUAGAAACUGUAGCGGGUUUUCUGAAGCUAGUGGAACUUUGUAAAAGCCUUGUAGUGGAUCCCUAGCUAUUCACCUCGGAAGUGUCUAAGGGUCUAGCUAACACUGGCUAGAUGGGAUACACGACUUGUGGGUACUGGGUACGACCUCUGCAGAGUGUAAAACUGGUAUACUAGCCAUGCUCGCGGUAAUGAGCCGCUCAAUACUCUUGCAUGAUUAAUUUAUGGAAUUAAAUUCAAUUUAUCAUUUGCAUCGCAUUGGGAUUUAUUAUUAAUUCUGAUCUACUAUUACUCUGGUUUGGUUCUACUUACAUUUAGUAACUACUAAUAAAAUUUGACCAACUUAUUAAAAGCAAUGCUCAACUUUAACCCUUAUUUAUUGGUCAGCCUUACUCUUCACAUGAACUCCCACCUUUGGUAAGUUCAUGCACGUUAUUCCCCACAACUUGUUGAGCUAUGAUCUUUUGUGAGAUCACCCUUGCGAGAUAUAACCCCCCACAGGAGAAGAACAUGUGAUCUAGG